CUUGGUCAUUUAGAGGAAGUAAAAGUCGUAACAAGGUCUCCGUUGGUGAACCAGCGGAGGGAUCAUUAUCGAGUUAUUCAACUCCCAAACCCUAUGUGAACUUACCACUUGUUGCUUCGGCGCGCGCUUCGGCGCCGCCGAGGACACUUAAACUCUUUGUUUUUAUAAGCAUUUCUGAGUGGCCGAAAGGCAAAAAUACAAAUGAAUCAAAACUUUCAACAACGGAUCUCUUGGUUCUGGCAUCGAUGAAGAACGCAGCGAAAUGCGAUAAGUAAUGUGAAUUGCAGAAUUCAGUGAAUCAUCGAAUCUUUGAACGCACAUUGCGCCCGCCAGCAUUCUGGCGGGCAUGCCUGUUCGAGCGUCAUUUCAACCCUCGAGCCCGACUCUUUUGAGGACGGCUCGGCGUUGGGGGACGGCAGACUCCCCCCGGCAUCUCGCCGGGGACGCCGCCCCCGAAAUCUAGUGGCGGCCCUCCGAGGCGACCUCUGCGUAGUAACUUGUUCUCGCACCGGAAAGCUCAGAGCGGCCACGCCGUAAAACCCCAACUUUUUUCAGGUUGACCUCGAAUCAGGUAGGACUACCCGCUGAACUUAAGCAUAUCAAUAAGCGGAGGA
rnacentral:rRNA from 2 species